rnacentral:rRNA from 1 species
CCUACGGGUGGCAGCAGUGGGGAAUAUUGGACAAUGGGGGGAACCCUGAUCCAGCCAUGCCGCGUGUGUGAAGAAGGCCCUCGGGUUGUAAAGCACUUUCAGUGAGGAAGAACGCCUGGUGGUUAAUACCCAUCAGGAAAGACAUCACUCACAGAAGAAGCACCGGCUAACUCCGUGCCAGCAGUCGCGGUAAUACGGAGGGUGCGAGCGUUAAUCGGAAUUACUGGGCGUAAAGCGCGCGUAGGUGGCUUGAUAAGCCGGUUGUGAAAGCCCCGGGCUCAACCUGGGAACGGCAUCCGGAACUGUCAAGCUAGAGUGCAGGAGAGGAAGGUAGAAUUCCCGGUGUAGCGGUGAAAUGCGUAGAGAUCGGGAGGAAUACCAGUGGCGAAGGCGGCCUUCUGGACUGACACUGACACUGAGGUGCGAAAGCGUGGGUAGCAAACAGGAUUAGAUACCCUAGUAGUC